GACACCUCAGAGACGAUGAGGUAGAUAGGCCGGGAGUGGAAGAGCCGUGAGGCUUGGAGCGGACCGGUACUAAUCAGUCGAGGACUUGACCAAAA
rnacentral:rRNA from 1 species